rnacentral:tRNA from 1 species
UGGGUUGUGGCUCAAUGGUGGAGCACUCACCUAGCACAUGCAAGGCCCUGGGUUCGAUCCUUAGCAACACAU